rnacentral:rRNA from 1 species
UACGAAGGGGGCUAGCGUUGUUCGGAAUUACUGGGCGUAAAGCGCACGUAGGCGGAUAUUUAAGUCAGGGGUGAAAUCCCGGGGCUCAACCUCGGAACUGCCUUUGAUACUGGGUAUCUUGAGUAUGGAAGAGGUAAGUGGAAUUGCGAGUGUAGAGGUGAAAUUCGUAGAUAUUCGCAGGAACACCGAUGGCGUAGGCAGGGUACUGGCUUAUUCCUGACACUAAGGCACGAAAGCGUGGGGAGCAAACGGG